UACAGAGGGUGCAAGCGUUGUUCGGAAUUAUUGGGCGUAAAGCGCGUGUAGGCGGCUUUGCAAGUCGGGUGUGAAAGCCCUCAGCUCAACUGAGGAAGUGCGCCCGAAACUGCAGAGCUUGAGUACCGGAGAGGAUGGCGGAAUUCCCCAAGUAGAGGUGAAAUUCGUAGAUAUGGGGAGGAACACCGGUGGCGAAGGCGGCCAUCUGGACGGAUACUGACGCUGAGACGCGAAAGCCAGGGGAGCGAACGGG
rnacentral:rRNA from 1 species